rnacentral:rRNA from 1 species
CCUACGGGUGGCAGCAGUGAGGAAUAUUGGUCAAUGGACGGAAGUCUGAACCAGCCAUGCCGCGUGCAGGAAGACGGCUCUAUGAGUUGUAAACUGCUUUUGUACAAGGGUUAACCUGAAUACGUGACUUCAGAUGAAAGUCCUGUACGAAUACAGAUCGGCUAACUCCGUGCCAGCAGCCGCGGUAAUACGGAGGGUCCAAGCGUUAUCCGGAAUUAUUGGGUUUAAAGGGUGCGUAGGCGGAUUGAUAAGUUAGAGGUGAAAUGUCCGAGCUUAACUCGGGAACUGCCUCUAAUACUGUUGAUCUAGAGAGUAGAUGCGGUAGGCGGAAUGGAUGGUGUAGCGGUGAAAUGCUUAGAGAUCAUACAGAACACUGAUUGCGAAGGCAGCUUACCAAUCUAUAUCUGACGUUGAGGCACGAAAGCGUGGGGAGCAAACAGGAUUAGAUACCCUGGUAGUC